rnacentral:ncRNA from 1 species
AGAUGUUAAUGGAGAGAGACCGUGUGCGUGACGGCGGCACCGAAGGGGCAAGGUUUGUCAACCGAAACUCUCAGGUAAAAAGACCCAUUAAACAGA